rnacentral:misc_RNA from 1 species
GCAAACUUGGUCAUUUAGAGGAAGUAAAAGUCGUAACAAGGUUUCCGUAGGUGAACCUGCGGAAGGAUCAUUACCGAGUUAGGGUCUCCCCGCGAGGCCCGACCUCCCAACCCUGUGUUUACCCAACCCACACGUGUUGCUUCGGCGGACCGGGACGCCUCCUCCUCUCCUCGUUCACGCGAGGGGCUCGGGGGGACGGGGUCACCGCCGGGGGGCUACGGCCGCGAGGCUUACCCCUGGAGAGUCGUCCGUCGACGGCCCAACCAAACCCCAAAAAUUCUAUACCCAAACCAUGUGUUAAACCUUCUGAACUCAGAUUUUGUGAUGUCACAAUCAUUAAAACAAAACUUUCAACAACGGAUCUCUUGGUUCUGGCAUCGAUGAAGAACGCAGC